UUUAGCGUGGCAGAGACUGGUUACUGCAAAAGAUCUAAGCCCUUUCUACGGGGGUUCAAAUCCCCCCCUAAACUU
rnacentral:tRNA from 1 species